AAGGAUGGACUCGCGGCCUAUCAGCUAGUUGGUGAGGUAAUGGCUCACCAAGGCGACGACGGGUAGCCGGCCUGAGAGGGUGACCGGCCACACUGGGACUGAGACACGGCCCAGACUCCUACGGGAGGCAGCAGUGGGGAAUAUUGCACAAUGGGCGCAAGCCUGAUGCAGCAACGCCGCGUGAGGGACGACGGCCUUCGGGUUGUAAACCUCUUUAGUAGGGAAGAAGCGAAAGAGACGGUACCUGCAGAAAAA
rnacentral:rRNA from 1 species